rnacentral:rRNA from 1 species
CUGCUGCCUCCCGUAGGAGUUUGGACCGUGUCUCAGUUCCAAUGUGGGGGACCUUCCUCUCAGAACCCCUACGCAUCGUCGGCUUGGUGGGCCGUUGCCCCACCAACUACCUAAUGCGCCGCAUGCCCAUCCAUGACCGGGGUCGCCCCCUUUGACCGGCAGGGGAUGUCCCCUCCCGGCAUUAUGUUGUAUUGGGCGGGAUUUCUCCCGGUUAUCCAUCUGUCACGGCCAGGUUGCAUACGUGUUACUCACCCGUGCGCCGGUCGCCGGCGG